GACACUUUUCUUAAUUUACCGGCUGAUGCAGCAUCAAAAGAUCUCCUGAUUUUUCCUGUGUGGAAACCAGGACACUGGUUCCUCUAGCACCAUGACAAGAAUCGAUGAAGCAGUAUGCUGGAUACGGGACAACAUGUCUCUUUUCCGUGGACAUGUUGAACUGCCCAGCAUAUUGUCCAUGACAGCAGUUCUUUCAGAACAUCGCCAAUGAUGAUGACAUCCAUGAUUCAAGAGAAUGCCUCCCUUUUGUUUUUGAAUAUCAAGAAGAGUACACAGUUUUUAUUAAUUCUUGUUCAGCUGUGUCGGCAAUGUUUAACACCCCUACCCUUUCCCCUUAGCCAGAGGACCGGCACCA